GAGGAAAGUCCGGGCUCCAUAGGGCAGGGUGCCAGGUAACGCCUGGGAAGCGCGAGCUUACGACAAGUGCAACAGAGAGCAAACCGCCGAUGGCCCACGCAAGUGGGAUCAGGUAAGGGUGAAAGGGUGCGGUAAGAGCGCACCGCGCGGCUGGCAACAGUUCGUGGCAUGGUAAACUCCACCCGGAGCAAGGCCAAAUAGGGGUUCACAUGGUACGGCCCGUACUGAACCCGGGUAGGCUGCUUGAGCCAGUGAGCGAUUGCUGGCCUAGAUGAAUGACUGUCCACGACAGAACCCGGCUUA
rnacentral:RNase_P_RNA from 1 species